rnacentral:misc_RNA from 1 species
GAUGAAGAACGCAGCGAAAUGCGAUAAGUAGUGUGAAUUGCAGAAUUCAGUGAAUCAUCGAAUCUUUGAACGCACAUUGCGCCUCCUGGUAUUCCGGGAGGCAUGCCUGUUCGAGCGUCAUUAAAAUCACUCAAGCUUAGGUUUACCUAUUGCUUGGUCUUGGAGAUGGAAGCCAAUUUAUUGGAAUCCUCUUCGAAAUUCAAUGGCGAAGACCCUUGCUCUCCCAAGUGUAGUAAUAACUUAUGUCACUGAAGGAAGCGAGAAAUCUUCUGCCGUAACCCCCAUAUUUUCUAUGAUUGACCUCGGAUCAGGUAGGGAUACCCGCUGAACUUAAGCAUAUCAAUGAGCGGAGGA